GCCAUUGUUCUUGCCUUCAAGGUUUGGCAUGAUAAGGCUGUGUGGAACAUAUACUUCUGCCAGAUCCUCAAGAACCUUGCACUCCAAGACAUAAAUCAACUGGAAAGGCAUUACUUGUGUCUGCUUGAGUUUAAUGUUAAUGUGUCUGCCAGCAUUUAUGCCAAAUACUACUUUGAUCUUCGCUCUUUAGCAGAUCACAGCAACAUGUAUUUUGUGCCUGCACCUCUCACCAAAGAAAGAGCACAGAAACUAGAAGCGAUGUCAAGAUACUGUGAGGAUGGAGGCUUGCACAGAGGUGAAAUCAGAAAAGCUUCCAGUGAUGACAGCUUCACUGGAAUUCAACUGUCUAAAGCCAUCCUGUCUUAAAAGAGAGAGAUGAGGGCUAUGACAUCGUAGACCCUCGUUUACACAAGAUGGACCACCAGUCUUUCAAAAAAAAUCCAAAGUGAACAUAUUUGCCAA
rnacentral:lncRNA from 1 species